GGGUAAGUCUUAUACGACCAGCUCCCUUCGAAUCCCCCCAGGGUCGGAAGACAGCAAGGGUAGAAGGUUGUAGCGGUGCGAUAUGAGGAGCUUACCCCU
rnacentral:SRP_RNA from 1 species